GCAAGUUCACCUUUCAGUCCUUCCUGUGAUCAUGAUUGUAGUCACGAUUAAUACAUCAUGUAAUCGUAAUAGUACUUUAUUACACCUAAUUUUAUUGUAAUUGUAAUCGUAAUCGUUAAAAUAUGAAGUAAUCAUAAUCGUAAUCGAUUACAUAACAUAAGUAAUCGCCCCAUGUCUGGUUAAUAUACAGUAAAAUCUUGCUAACUUCUCUUCUCUCCUCCUUACCCUCCUCCCUUCCCCUCUCCCCUCCCUCCCCCAACACAUUCCCUACACAUUUCUCCUCCUCCCCAGCCUGAGCACCUCACCACAAAGCUGUCCAAGAUGCCUCACGUCCAAGAAGUCCCAGGUUUACAAGUGGAAGGGCCUGCUCAAGGAACUCCGCUGCUCUCUCCUGGACGGAAGGAACCAGGAGAUGGAGAGGAGAUGAAGAAGAAGAAGAAAAAGAAGAGGAAGAAGACUUAGGAACAAAGAACCCCAACAAAAGAUGAAGAAGAAGAAGAUGAAAGAGAAGAAGAAGGAGGAAGUGAAGAAGAGAAGUUUGUCUUUCAAUAAUAAUAAUAAAAUAUAUGUUGAAAGAAAUCAGUUUAAAUUCUGUCCAUAUAACACACACACACACAUAUACCCUCUCCUUCUCUUCCUUCUCUUCUUUUCUUCUUCUUCUGCUUCUUCUUUCUGCAAUACAUUAAAACAUAUUACUAUUCAAAUCUAGAAGAGGAGGAGGAAGAAGAGGGAAGGAGAGAGAGAGAACAGAGUGGACCAAGGGAGAUAGAGUGAGGGAGGAGAGAGAAGAGAGAGAGAAGUAAAGAGUGGUGGAGAGAAAGAGGAGGGAGAAGGUGGAUAAAGAAGGGAAUGGAAGAGGGAGAGGGAGAAGGAGGAGAGGAGGGAGGGAAGGAAAGAGAAGCGAUUCUAACAUAAGGAGAGAUUUGGAGGAG